AGUGAACGCUGGCGGUAGGCCUAACACAUGCCAGUCGAACGGCAGCACAGUAAGAGCUUGCUCUUACGGGUGGCGAGUGGCGGACGGGUGAGGAAUACAUCGGAAUCUACUUUUUCGUGGGGGAUAACGUAGGGAAACUUACGCUAAUACCGCAUACGACCUACGGGUGAAAGCAGGGGAUCUUCGGACCUUGCGCGAUUGAAUGAGCCGAUGUCGGAUUAGCUAGUUGGCGGGGUAAAGGCCCACCAAGGCGACGAUCCGUAGCUGGUCUGAGAGGAUGAUCAGCCACACUGGAACUGAGACACGGUCCAAACUCCUACGGGAGGCAGCAGUGGGGAAUAUUGGACAAUGGGCGCAAGCCUGAUCCAGCCAUACCGCGUGGGUGAAGAAGGCCUUCGGGUUGUAAAGCCCUUUUGUUGGGAAAGAAAAGCAGCAGGUUAAUACCCCGCUGUUCUGACGGUACCCAAAGAAUAAGCACCGGCUAACUUCGUG
rnacentral:rRNA from 1 species